rnacentral:rRNA from 1 species
ACUCCUGCGGGAGGCAGCAGUGGGGAAUUUUGGACAAUGGGCGAAAGCCUGAUCCAGCAAUGCCGCGUGAGUGAAGAAGGCCUUCGGGUUGUAAAGCUCUUUUGUCAGGGAAGAAACGGUGAGAGCUAAUAUCUCUUGCUAAUGACGGUACCUGAAGAAUAAGCACCGGCUAACUACGUGCCAGCAGCCGCGGUAAUACGUAGGGUGCAAGCGUUAAUCGGAAUUACUGGGCGUAAAGCGUGCGCAGGCGGUUUUGUAAGUCUGAUGUGAAAUCCCCGGGCUCAACCUGGGAAUUGCAUUGGAGACUGCAAGGCUAGAAUCUGGCAGAGGGGGGUAGAAUUCCACGUGUAGCAGUGAAAUGCGUAGAUAUGUGGAGGAACACCGAUGGCGAAGGCAGCCCCCUGGGUCAAGAUUGACGCUCAUGCACGAAAGCGUGGGGAGCAAACAGGAUUAGAAACCCUUGUAGUCCCAUGA